UACAGAGGGUGCGAGCGUUAAUCGGAAUUACUGGGCGUAAAGCGCGCGUAGGCGGCUUUGCAAGUCGGGUGUGAAAUCCCCAGGCUUAACCUGGGAACUGCAUUCGAGACUGCAUUGCUAGAGUAUGGGAGAGGGAAGUGGAAUUUCCGGUGUAGCGGUGAAAUGCGUAGAUAUAGGAAGGAACACCAGUGGCGAAGGCGACCACCUGGACUGAUACUGACGCUGAGGCGCGAAAGCGUGGGGAGCAAACAGG
rnacentral:rRNA from 1 species